AUCCAGUUGAUGAGUCCCAAAUAGGAUGAAACGUGCGUCUUUUAU
rfam:Schistosoma curassoni strain Dakar, Senegal genome assembly, scaffold: SCTD_scaffold0004387